AUUGAACGCUGGCGGCAGGCCUAACACAUGCAAGUCGAGCGGAUGAAGGGAGCUUGCUCCUGGAUUCAGCGGCGGACGGGUGAGUAAUGCCUAGGAAUCUGCCUGGUAGUGGGGGAUAACGUCCGGAAACGGGCGCUAAUACCGCAUACGUCCUGAGGGAGAAAGUGGGGGAGCUUCGGACCUCACGCUAUCAGAUGAGCCUAGGUCGGAUUAGCUAGUUGGUGGGGUAAAGGCCUACCAAGGCGACGAUCCGUAACUGGUCUGAGAGGAUGAUCAGUCACACUGGAACUGAAACACGGUCCAGACUCCUGAGGGAGGCAGCAGUGGGGAAUAUUGGACAAUGGGCGAAAGCCUGGUCCAGCCAUGCCGCGUGUGUGAAGAAGGUCUUCGGAUUGUAAAGCACUUUAAGUUGGGAGGAAGGGCAGUAAGUUAAUACCUUGCUGUUUUGACGUUACCAACAGAAUAAGCACCGGCUAACUUCGUG
rnacentral:rRNA from 1 species